AGAGUUUGAUCCUGGCUCAGGAUGAACGCUAGCGGCAGGCUUAACACAUGCAAGUCGAGGGGCAGCGGGAGUAGCAAUACUUGCCGGCGACCGGCGCAAGGGUGCGUAACGCGUGAGUAACAUGCCCGGACCAGGGAGAUAAUCCAUGGAAACGUGGUCUAAUAUCGCAUAGUAUUUUUGAGGGGCAUCCCUUAAAAAUUAAAGAUACGUUGGGUUCGGAUUGGCUCGCGUGACAUUAGCUAGAUGGUAAGGUAACGGCUUACCAUGGCGACGAUGUCUAGGGGUUCUGAGAGGAAGGUCCCCCACACUGGAACUGAGACACGGUCCAGACUCCUACGGGAGGCAGCAGUGAGGAAUAUUGGACAAUGGUCGGAAGACUGAUCCAGCCAUGCCGCGUGAAGGAAACUGCCCUAUGGGUUUUCAACUUCUUUUGUAUGAGAGCAAUAAGUCCUACGCGUAGGACGAUGAGAGUAUCAUACGAAUAAGCAUCGGCUAACUCCGUGCCAGCAGCCGCGGUAAUACGGAGGAUGCAAGCGUUAUCCGGAUUUAUUGGGUUUAAAGGGUGCGUAGGCGGCUUGUUAAGUCAGUGGUGAAACUCAUCUGCUCAACAGAUGCCGUGCCAUUGAAACUGACAGGCUAGAAUGCGGAUGCUGUGGGAGGAAUGUGUAGUGUAGCGGUGAAAUGCAUAGAUAUUACACAGAACACCGAUUGCGAAGGCAUCUCACAAAUCCGCGAUUGACGCUGAGGCACGAAAGUGUGGGGAUCGAACAGGAUUAGAUACCCUGGUAGUCCACACUGUAAACGAUGAUAACUAGCUGUUGGCGAUAAACUGUCAGUGGCUAAGCGAAAGCGAUAAGUUAUCCACCUGGGGAGUACGACCGCAAGGUUGAAACUCAAAGGAAUUGACGGGGGCCCGCACAAGCGGAGGAACAUGUGGUUUAAUUCGAUGAUACGCGAGGAACCUUACCCGGGCUCGAACGGUUCAUGACGUUACAAGAGAUUGUAAUUCCCUUCGGGGCAUGGAUCGAGGUGCUGCAUGGUUGUCGUCAGCUCGUGCCGUGAGGUGUCGGCUUAAGUGCCAUAACGAGCGCAACCCUUGUCUAUAGUUGCCAACAGGUAGCGCUGGGGACUCUAUAGAGACUGCCACCGUAAGGUGUGAGGAAGGGGGGGAUGACGUCAAAUCAGCACGGCCCUUACGUCCGGGGCGACACACGUGUUACAAUGGUAGGUACAGAGGGUCGCUAUUCAGUGAUGGAAUGCAAAUCUCGAAAACCUAUCUCAGUUCGGAUUGGAGUCUGCAACUCGACUCCAUGAAGUUGGAUUCGCUAGUAAUCGCGCAUCAGCCAUGGCGCGGUGAAUACGUUCCCGGGCCUUGCACACACCGCCCGUCA
rnacentral:rRNA from 1 species